AUGGGGUUUCACCAUGUUGGCCAGGGUGGUCUUGAACUCCUGACGUGAAGUGAUCCACCUGCCUCAACCUAGGUCCCAGUUUAUAUUCCUUCAACCCCUUUUUUCUCUGCAACCUUUCCCAAUUUUAAUGGAGAGAAAAAAAUGCUAAAAUGCAAAGGGUGAUUUUUAUGUAGAUUAACAAAUUAAUCUCAUAGAAUCAGCUGACCUGCAACUGCUGGAUACAGAGAUGAAAGAUAAUUCCUGCAUAGAGCGGACAUGACCUGAAGGCUGCUCUGCUGUGAUUUCCAAGACACUCAAACCCACCAGGACACAGAUGGACAACAACAUGAAGAGGCAAACAAGGCGAGGUCUGGAGGGAACCCAAAGCCAGGAGCUUCUGUCCCCGUGGAGCUGAAAUGCGCCAUCCUCCCUGGAUAUGGAUGUCCUUGCCAACCUGGAGGCUCUUCAAACCCUGUCACUUAGGUGUUUUUUGCUUUUUGUUAUUGGAGGUUCUGUUAUGCAGAUAUGAUUGAUUAAAUCAUUGGCCAAUGAUGAUUGAACUCAGUCUCCUUAGAGGUCUGGGAGUGACGCUAAAAGCUCCAAUCCUCUACUCACGUGGUUGGCUCUUCUGGCAACUGGCCCCCAUCCUGAAGCAAUCUAGGGACCCACAGAGCUCACCUCAUUUGCAUAAACUCAUAUAUGGGCUUGUUAUGAAUAACCAAAAAUGCUCCUAUAUCUCAGGAGGUUCUCAGGGUUUUAGAAACUCUGUGUCAGGAACUGGGAUGAGGACCAAAUAUAUAUUUCUUAUUGUGUCAUACUUA